CUGUACACUAGGAAGCUACAGUAGAGUCACUAUGGCCGAGGACUGAUAAUGAUGACACUUCCCACAUCUGGAAUACGAAUUAAGAAUAUUUGUGUGUGAGUUAUUUACUCAUUUAUCCAGCGCUUUUUACUUCAGCCAUUUAUAUCAUUAUCCUACUGAUGUGAAGACACUGUAGCAUAUGAACCAAUAAGACUCACCAGCAUGCAAGUUACAGUUGAAGGCAUGCACAUUUCUGCUCUACAAAGAUAUUUCAUGCAGGGUUUCCUCAUUGGGACAGAAGUUACAGUAGAUUCAGUAAUCAGCUGAAAG